CUGUGAGCUCGAUGAGUAGGGCGGGACACGUGGUAUCCUGUCUGAAUAUGGGGGGACCAUCCUCCAAGGCUAAAUACUCCUGACUGACCGAUAGUGAACCAGUACCGUGAGGGAAAGGCGAAAAGAACCCCGGCGAGGGGAGUGAAAAAGAACCUGAAACCGUGUACGUACAAGCAGUGGGAGCACGCUUAGGCGUGUGACUGCGUACCUUUUGUAUAAUGGGUCAGCGACUUAUAUUCUGUAGCAAGGUUAACCGAAUAGGGGAGCCGAAGGGAAACCGAGUCUUAACUGGGCGUUAAGUUGCAGGGUAUAGACCCGAAACCCGGUGAUCUAGCCAUGGGCAGGUUGAAGGUUGGGUAACACUAACUGGAGGACCGAACCGACUAAUGUUGAAAAAUUAGCGGAUGACUUGUGGCUGGGGGUGAAAGGCCAAUCAAACCGGGAGAUAGCUGGUUCUCCCCGAAAGCUAUUUAGGUAGCGCCUCGUGAAUUCAUCUCCGGGGGUAGAGCACUGUUUCGGCAAGGGGGUCAUCCCGACUUACCAACCCGAUGCAAACUGCGAAUACCGGAGAAUGUUAUCACGGGAGACACACGGCGGGUGCUAACGUCCGUCGUGAAGAGGGAAACAACCCAGACCGCCAGCUAAGGUCCCAAAGUCAUGGUUAAGUGGGAAACGAUGUGGGAAGGCCCAGACAGCCAGGAUGUUGGCUUAGAAGCAGCCAUCAUUUAAAGAAAGCGUAAUAGCUCACUGGUCGAGUCGGCCUGCGCGGAAGAUGUAACGGGGCUAAACCAUGCACCGAAGCUGCGGCAGCGACGCUUAUGCGUUGUUGGGUAGGGGAGCGUUCUGUAAGCCUGCGAAGGUGUGCUGUGAGGCAUGCUGGAGGUAUCAGAAGUGCGAAUGCUGACAUAAGUAACGAUAAAGCGGGUGAAAAGCCCGCUCGCCGGAAGACCAAGGGUUCCUGUCCAACGUUAAUCGGGGCAGGGUGAGUCGACCCCUAAGGCGAGGCCGAAAGGCGUAGUCGAUGGGAAACAGGUUAAUAUUCCUGUACUUGGUGUUACUGCGAAGGGGGGACGGAGAAGGCUAUGUUGGCCGGGCGACGGUUGUCCCGGUUUAAGCGUGUAGGCUGGUUUUCCAGGCAAAUCCGGAAAAUCAAGGCUGAGGCGUGAUGACGAGGCACUACGGUGCUGAAGCAACAAAUGCCCUGCUUCCAGGAAAAGCCUCUAAGCAUCAGGUAACAUCAAAUCGUACCCCAAACCGACACAGGUGGUCAGGUAGAGAAUACCAAGGCGCUUGAGAGAACUCGGGUGAAGGAACUAGGCAAAAUGGUGCCGUAACUUCGGGAGAAGGCACGCUGAUAUGUAGGUGAAGUCCCUCGCGGAUGGAGCUGAAAUCAGUCGAAGAUACCAGCUGGCUGCAACUGUUUAUUAAAAACACAGCACUGUGCAAACACGAAAGUGGACGUAUACGGUGUGACGCCUGCCCGGUGCCGGAAGGUUAAUUGAUGGGGUCAGCGCAAGCGAAGCUCUUGAUCGAAGCCCCGGUAAACGGCGGCCGUAACUAUAACGGUCCUAAGGUAGCGAAAUUCCUUGUCGGGUAAGUUCCGACCUGCACGAAUGGCGUAAUGAUGGCCAGGCUGUCUCCACCCGAGACUCAGUGAAAUUGAACUCGCUGUGAAGAUGCAGUGUACCCGCGGCAAGACGGAAAGACCCCGUGAACCUUUACUAUAGCUUGACACUGAACAUUGAGCCUUGAUGUGUAG
rnacentral:rRNA from 1 species